rnacentral:rRNA from 1 species
UUAGAUGCGAGAGUAGAGCAUAUCAAUAAGCGGAGGAAAAGAAACUAACAAGGAUUCCCUAGUAACGGCGAGUGAAGCGGGAAGAGCUCAAAUUUGAAAUCUUCAAGGUUUCCCUUGACGAAUUGUAGUUUAAAGAAGUGUUUUCUGUUAGAGAGGUGGUAAAAGUUCUUUGGAAUAGGACAUCAUAGAGGGUGAGAAUCCCGUAUUUGGAUCACUUCCUACUAGCUUUGUGAUACACUUUCAAAGAGUCGGAUUGUUUGGGAAUGCAGUCCAAAAUGGGUGGUAAAUUUCAUCUAAAGCUAAAUAUUGGCGAGAGACCGAUAGCGAACAAGUACCGUGAGGGAAAGAUGAAAAGAACUUUGAAAAGAGAGUUAAACAGUACGUGAAAUUGUCAAAAGGGAAGCGUUUGACACCAGUGUUGUUUUUCCGAAAAUCAAUUAAGAAUGUCCUGAUUUUGAGAAGUUCAUGACCUUAAUAGGCUUGUUUCUUAUUUUACUUGUAACUUUCUUAAUGCACUUUUCGGUUAACAAGUCAACAUCAAUUUCUUUUGUUGUAAAAAGGUAAGAGGAAGGUGGCUUGCGCUUCGGCUCAAGUGUUUAUAGCCUUUUACCCCUGCAAUCGGAGAGAUUGAGGUCUGCAGCGUAGAUCCUUCGGGGUUAGAUACAUUUGUGCUAAGCUAUAGCCUUGUAUAGACAACUUGUUGACUAUGCUCAGUCAUGUAGCUUACUCGCUUAUGCUAUUUUACCUACGCUUAGGAUGUUGACGAGACUGUCGAUCUC